UCCCAGGAGGACUAGUGGUUAGGCCACAGCGCACUCACCGCUGCGGCCCGGGUUCGAUUCCUAGCCAGGGAA
rnacentral:tRNA from 1 species